GGGUUGUGAGGUUAAGCGACUAAGCGUACACGGUGGAUGCCCUGGCAGUCAGAGGCGAUGAAGGACGUGCUAAUCUGCGAUAAGCGUCGGUAAGGUGAUAUGAACCGUUAUAACCGGCGAUUUCCGAAUGGGGAAACCCAGUGUGAUUCGUCACACUAUCAUUAACUGAAUCCAUAGGUUAAUGAGGCGAACCGGGGGAACUGAAACAUCUAAGUACCCCGAGGAAAAGAAAUCAACCGAGAUUCCCCCAGUAGCGGCGAGCGAACGGGGAGGAGCCCAGAGCCUGAAUCAGUGUGUGUGUUAGUGGAAGCGUCUGGAAAGGCGCGCGAUACAGGGUGACAGCCCCGUACACAAAAAUGCACAUACUGUGAGCUCGAUGAGUAGGGCGGGACACGUGGUAUC
rnacentral:rRNA from 1 species